rnacentral:rRNA from 1 species
AGAAUCAACGCUGGCGGCGUGCCUAACACAUGCAAGUCGCACGAGAAAGGGGCUUCGGCCCUGAGUACAGUGGCGUACGGGUGAGUAACACGUGAAUCAUCUACCUCCGAGUGGGGAAUAACCUAGAGAAAUCUGGGCUAAUACCGCAUAACACUUACGAGUCAAAGCAGCAAUGCGCUUGGAGAGGAGUUCGCGGCCGAUUAGUUAGUUGGCGGGGUAAUGGCCCACCAAGACGAUGAUCGGUA